CGUAGGGUGCGAGCGUUAAUCGGAAUUACUGGGCGUAAAGCGUGCGCAGGCGGUUUGUUAAGAUAGGCGUGAAAUCCCCGGGCUCAACCUGGGAACUGCGCUUAUGACUGGCAAGCUAGAGUACGGCAGAGGGGGUGGAAUUCCACGUGUAGCAGUGAAAUGCGUAGAGAUGUGGAGGAACACCAAUGGCGAAGGCAGCCCCCUGGGUCGAUACUGACGCUCAUGCACGAAAGCGUGGGUAGCAAACAGGAUUAGAUACCCUGGUAGUCCACGCCUAAACGAUGUCAACUAGGUGUUGGGAGGGUAAACCUUUUAGUACCGGAGCUAACGCGUGAAGUUGACCGCCUGGGGAGUACGGCCGACAAGGUUA
rnacentral:rRNA from 1 species